CCUACGGGAGGCAGCAGUGAGGAAUAUUGGUCAAUGGACGAGAGUCUGAACCAGCCAAGUAGCGUGAAGGAUGACUGCCCUAUGGGUUGUAAACUUCUUUUAUAUGGGAAUAAAAUGUUCCACGUGUGGGAUUUUGUAUGUACCAUAUGAAUAAGGAUCGGCUAACUCCGUGCCAGCAGCCGCUGUAAUACGGAGGAUCCGAGCAUUAUCCGGAUUUAUUGGGUUUAAAGGGAGCGUAGGUGGAUUGUUAAGUCAGUUGUGAAAGUUUGCGGCUCAACCGUAAAAUUGCAGUUGAAACUGGCAGUCUUGAGUACAGUAGAGGUGGGCGGAAUUCGUGGUGUAGCGGUGAAAUGCUUAGAUAUCACGAAGAACUCCGAUUGCGAAGGCAGUUCACUGGACUGCAACUGACACUGAGGCUCGAAAGUGUGGGUAUCAAACAGGAUUAGAUACCCGAGUAGUC
rnacentral:rRNA from 1 species